rnacentral:rRNA from 1 species
GACGAACGCUGGCGGCGUGCUUAACACAUGCAAGUCGAACGGAAAGGCCCUGCUUUUGUGGGGUGCUCGAGUGGCGAACGGGUGAGUAACACGUGAGUAACCUGCCCUUGACUUUGGGAUAACUUCAGGAAACUGGGGCUAAUACCGGAUAGGAGCUCCUGCUGCAUGGUGGGGGUUGGAAAGUUUCGGCGGUUGGGGAUGGACUCGCGGCUUAUCAGCUUGUUGGUGGGGUAGUGGCUUACCAAGGCUUUGACGGGUAGCCGGCCUGAGAGGGUGACCGGCCACAUUGGGACUGAGAUACGGCGCAGACUCCUACGGGAGGCAGCAGUGGGGAAUAUUGCACAAUGGGCGGAAGCCUGAUGCAGCAACGCCGCGUGCGGGAUGACGGCCUUCGGGUUGUAAACCGCUUUCGCCUGUGACGAAGCGUGAGUGACGGUAAUGGGUAAAGAAGCAACGGCUAACUACGUG